UACGUAGGGGGCAAGCGUUGUCCGGAAUCACUGGGCGUAAAGGGCGCGUAGGUGGUUUGAUAAGGGUGUGGUGAAAGUCCGGAGCUCAACUCCGGAUCUGCCGUGCCGACUGUCAAACUCGAGGGCUGUAGAGGCAGACGGAAUUCCGGGUGUAGCGGUGGAAUGCGUAGAGAUCCGGGGGAAGACCGGUGGCGAAGGCGGUCUGCUGGGCAGUUUCUGACACUGAGGCGCGACAGCGUGGGGAGCAAACAGG
rnacentral:rRNA from 1 species